CUCUUUGCCUGCUGCCAUCCACGUAUGACGUGAUUUGCUCCUCCUGGCCUUCUGCCAUGUUUGGAGGCCUCCCCAGCCACGUGGAACUGUGUCUUUGAAUUGAGGAGAGGAGAAAGAAGAGGAAUGAUUUUUUAAAAACCAUAAAACAGAGGUUACCCAGUGCCUUCAAGACUAAACUUUAUUAUAGUUUCCACAGCAAGUAGCUGGAGAAAGUGCAACCAAGGCUGCAAAGUGGACAGCCGUGCAGUGCGCAGGGUGCGGGAAGGCAGAGGGGUGGCCCCGUGGCCCCUCAGCCCAGGAGUCUCGAGCCAGUGGCUCUUGGGGCUGUGGGUUGAAAACAGGCCAGCAGCUUCUAGCACGUCCCUCGCGGUGUUCUUCACCUUCUCCCAAGAAUGCAUCCCUCGCAAUGCUCUCUCGUGUUCUCUUGAGGAUACGCGGCUUUUGGCCAUGGCAGCAGUCAGAGCUGUCAGCCCACACAAAAGAGGAAAGUCUGAGGCUUUAGUUUGAUGAACACAUUUAUAUGAUGGGACGAACAUCAGAGCCCGCAGCUCUCGGCCCUGCUGGUGGCAGAGGCUUUGUACUGUGUGACAAUGACCUGGAUAUGGAAGCAGAAGGGAGCUUCUAAGGACCGGAAGCUGAGAGUCUGUCUCCUGUCCCGGCCCGGACACUGGGGUUCAGGCUUCUACAUCUCUGCUCCAACUUGGUUUGCCUGGUGGGCCUGGGGCACUGCGUCUGUAUUCCUGGAUGAGCAGGUGCCUCCUGACUUCACAGAGUGAUGCCAGCUGCCAUGGGCUGCUCCCCACAUCCUCUCUUCAUCUCUGAGCGCUUUUCACAGGGAGGUUUCAUGCUUUCACCCCAGUCAAUGGGGCUCAUGCUUUCGCCCCAGUCAAACCUAGCCUGCUGGUCCUGGGUGCAAUGUGACAUCUGAAUUGUACCUGCCUGGUUGUAGGUACCAACUAAUGGAUGCUGAUCUUGACCACAUCCUUCUCGGAAGUGGCUCUGGAGAGGCUGCUGUGGAAAUUGUCAUCAGGUGAUGUGAGGGAAGUGUGCUCUGCCCCCUGUGUGGAUGCCUGUGUCCUGUGUGUGGCUGGAGUAGGACUUGGCUUGUGGGUGAUCACAGAGACGGAGACUGAGAAGCAGAUCGAUCCUAGCUUUGCUACUGACAAAAAGCAUGGGAACCAGAGCCUCAGUGUCUGCAGGAGUUGCUGGCUGUUUCCUGAUGCAGUUGGAGCAGAAUGGGAUGUCCUGGGACAACAGAGAUGUUUACCCAUCUUGACUAGUGUGGUCAUCUGAAGAAUGGCCUCCAAAGACAUCCUGAGAACCUGGGAAUGUUGCAUGGAUGAAGGAAUUUGCAAAAGUGAUUAAGUUAAGGAGCUUGAAAUUUGUGGAUCAUGCUGGGUUACCCCAGUGAGCUCUAAAUGUAAUCACAUGUGUCUUUAUGAAAGGGAGGCAGAGGGAGAUUUGCAGACAGAUGAGGAGGAAGAUGAGAAAACAAUGGACACAAGAAAGAAAAGGUGAUGCAGUUCAGGGACCCAAGCCAAUAAAUGAGGUGACCUCCAGAUGCUGGAGAAGGGAAGGAAGCAGAUGGACUCUAGAGCCCCCAAAAGAAGCAGGGCUCUGCCAUCACCUUGAUUUUGUCCCAAUGAAACCCAUUGGUCAUUUAGCUGCCAGAACUGUGUAAGCAUAAAUGUGUGUUCGUUUAAGCCAUGAAAUUUGCAGUAAUUUGUUAAAGCUGCCAUGGGAAACUAACACAACUGGAGUGGUAGUUCCGUGAAUGCAUGCAUUCACCAAACCUUAACAUGUACUCUUCGGAUACUGGCAUGAUAGGUCCAUGAAUGCAUAUGUUCACCCACACACUAAUAUAUACCCUUCAAAUACUGGUAUGAUAGUUCUAUGAAUGCAUGUGUUCACCACACACUAACAUGUACCCUUCAGAUACGGGCAUGGUAGUGCCCUGAAUACACGUGUUCACCAAACCCCAACAUGUACCCUUCAGAUACUGGCAUGAUAGUUCCAUGAAUCCAUGUGUUCACCAAAUCCCAACAUGUACUCUUCAGAUAUGGACAUGGUAGUUCCAUGAAUACAUGUUUUCACCAAAAACCAACAUGUACCCUUCAGAUACUGGUAUGAUAGUUCCAUGAAUGCAUAUGUUCACCAAACUAAAAUAUGUACCUGAUAUGGUUUGGCUGUGUCCCCACCCAAAUCUCAUCUUGAA
rnacentral:lncRNA from 1 species